UAUGUACGUAUGUAUGAUGCACGUACGUAUAUAUGUGUGUAUAUGUAAAUAAUCGAUUGUGACAUACAAGAGUCGAUAACAGGUUAACGUUAACAAGUAUAUCAGAGUAAUCUACGGAAUUUAUACUUGUGUAUUGCUCUAGUUGGAAACCAGCCAAGAACGAACAUGACUGUGUGUUCCUUCUUCUCCACCUUCUUCUUCUUCUUUUAGUUGUUUGAAUGUGUGGCCGCGACCUUGAGGUCGAAGACGCCUGUUACCAACUACGUGAAGUUAGCUCUAACGAAAAUUACAGGUUUACUGAGGAAGACACGUAAAAAAAAUCAAUGCUUUUCCAUUUAUGAUGCCAGGGAGGUGUGGGGUGAGGGAUGGGGCGAUGUGAUUGAUCAGGCAGUGUAAAGACCCGUGCGUUUAUUCAGAAAAAAAAAAAAAAAAAAAAAGAAGAUCAUCAUUAUUAUGAUAAUUCAUAAAUUGAUCGAUUUAAAUAGUGUUACGUACACGUAUUGUGUAUUGUAAAUGUGUUUUAUAGAGAAAGGAAAUGUUAUAAAAAAAAAAAAAAAAAAAAAAAAAACAAAACAAAACAAAAAAGAAACAAAAAGAAAGAAAAAAGACAGGAAAGGAAAAAGAAAGAAAAAAAAAAAAAGUAAGAAAGAGAAAAAACGAGCGAUAGAAAGAUUCAACGAACAGCCAACUGUUCUUUACUCACCCACAUAUCGUUAAACACAAAUCGAUGCUGACACACAUUUUCUUGUACGACGUAAUGUAUGUCGCGCGUAUCUCGUCGGAAGAUGAAAUUAUGUAAAUAAAAUUAUAAUAAACAUGUUAUAUUAAUUUCGAUCUAUUCGA